AAAAAAAAAAAAAAGAGAAAAAGAUAUGAGUUUCAUCUUUUAAACAAGUAACAUGGAAGCUUAAGGCAAAACAACUCUAAAGUUCUAAUAAAUUGUGGCAUGUUUAUCUUGUUCGAAUUCCAAUUAAGAGGGUGUUUGUCUUAGGUUAUAAGCAAGUUUGACCAGCUUAUAAGCUCUAAAAUUAAGUUGAUCUUUUUUGGGCUUACAAAAAGAAUAAGUUAAGGGGAUUAACUUUUCAUUUUGAUGUUUAUAAACACUAUGCCUAUAAGCUAGUUUGACCAAUACAUUACCAUGUUACCCCCUUUUAAUUUUAAAAUUACGUCACAUACUUUAUGUAAUGCCUUUUUUAAUAAUUAAAAAAAAAUGUGCUUAUAAGCUAAUUUUUACCAAACUUAUCGGCUUUUUAUAAAUAUUAUAACUAUAUAUGUAAUUGUUUAAAAUUUUAAAUGCUCACAAG
rnacentral:misc_RNA from 1 species